rnacentral:rRNA from 1 species
UACGAAGGGGGCUAGCGUUGUUCGGAAUCACUGGGCGUAAAGCGUACGUAGGCGGAUGAAUAAGUCAGGGGUGACAGCCUGGAGCUCAACUCCAGAACUGCCUUUGAUACUGUUUGUCUUGAGUCCGGGAGAGGUGAGUGGAACUGCUAGUGUAGGGGUGAAAUUCGUAGAUAUUAGCAAGAACACCAGUGGCGAAGGCGGCUCACUGGCCCGGUACUGACGCUGAGGUACGAAAGCGUGGGGAGCAAACAGG